rnacentral:rRNA from 1 species
CCUACGGGUGGCAGCAGUGAGGAAUAUUGGUCAAUGGGCGGAAGCCUGAACCAGCCAAGUAGCGUGCGGGAUGAAGGCCCUACGGGUCGUAAACCGCUUUUGCACGGGGAUAACACCCUCCACUUGUGGAUGUCUGCAGGUACCUUGCGAAUAAGGGCCGGCUAAUUCCGUGCCAGCAGCCGCGGUAAUACGGAAGGCCCGAGCGUUAUCCGGAUUCAUUGGGCUUAAAGGGAGCGUAGGCGGGCGUUCAAGUCAGCUGUAAAAUUGCGCGGCUCAACCGCGCCCCGCAGUUGAAACUGGCCGCCUUGAGUUCACAUCAGGCAGGCGGAAUUCGUGGUGUAGCGGUGAAAUGCAUAGAUAUCACGAGGAACCCCGAUUGCGAAGGCAGCCUGCCGGGGUGCGACUGACGCUGAGGCUCGAAGGUGCGGGUAUCAAACAGGAUUAGAUACCCGGGUAGUC